UAUUGCACAAUGGGGGAAACCCUGAUGCAGCGACGCCGCGUGAGUGAAGAAGUAUUUCGGUAUGUAAAGCUCUAUCAGCAGGAACGAGAUAAGACGGUACCUGACUAAGAAGCCCCGGCUAACUACGUGCCAGCAGCCGCGGUAAUACGUAUGGAGCAAGCGUUAUCCGGAGUUACUGGGUGUAAAGGGAGCGUAGGCAGCCUGGCAAGUCUGGUGUGAAAUACCGGGGCCCAACCCCGGGACUGCAUUGGAAACUGCCAGGCUGGAGUGUCGGAGGGGCAGGCGGAAUUCCUAGUGUAGCGGUGAAAUGCGUAGAUAUUAGGAGGAACACCGGUGGCGAAGGCGGCCUGCUGGACGACAACUGACGCUGAGGCUCGAAAGCGUGGGGAGCAAACAGG
rnacentral:rRNA from 1 species